rnacentral:rRNA from 1 species
UGUAAGCGUAUACCAAAGUUGUUGCAGUUAAAACGCUCGUAGUCGGAAUUUGGCAGUUCCGGAAGUGUGCACGUCGUGUGCGCACUUUGCGGGGACUGCUUUUGUGGUCUUGCGUAGGAUGAGGCACUUUCAUUAGUGAACGUCCUCACGCAACCACUCUUUACUGUGAGAAAAUCAGAGUGCUCAAAGCAGGCAUUUGCCGUGAAUGUAUUAGCAUGGAAUAAUAGAAUAGGACUCGGUUCUAUUUUGUUGGUUUGUUGGGACUGAGUAAUAAUUAAGAGGGACAGUUGGGGGCAUUUGUAUUCCGGCGCUAGAGGUGAAAUUCUUAGAUUGCCGGAAGACAAACUGCUGCGAAAGCGUCUGCCAAGGAUGUUUUCAUUGA